ACGCUAGCUACAGGCUUAACACAUGCAAGUCGAGGGGAAACGGCAUUAAGUGCUUGCACUUUUUGGACGUCGACCGGCGCACGGGUGAGUAACGCGUAUCCAACCUUCCCAUGACUAAGGGAUAACCUGCCGAAAGGCAGACUAAUACCUUAUGGUCUUCACUGACGGCAUCAGAUGUGAAGUAAAGAUUUAUCGGUUAUGGAUGGGGAUGCGUCUGAUUAGCUUGUUGGCGGGGUAACGGCCCACCAAGGCAACGAUCAGUAGGGGUUCUGAGAGGAAGGUCCCCCACAUUGGAACUGAGACACGGUCCAAACCCCUACGGGAGGCAGCAGUGAGGAAUAUUGGUCAAUGGGCGAGAGCCUGAACCAGCCAAGUAGCGUGCAGGAUGACGGCCCUAUGGGUUGUAAACUGCUUUUGUAUGGGGAUAAAGUCAAUCACGUGUGAUUGUUUGCAGGUACCAUACGAAUAAGGACCGGCUAAUUCCGUGCCAGCAGCCGCGGUAAUACGGAAGGUCCGGGCGUUAUCCGGAUUUAUUGGGUUUAAAGGGAGCGUAGGCUGGAGAUUAAGUGUGUUGUGAAAUGUAGACGCUCAACGUCUGACUUGCAGCGCAUACUGGUUUCCUUGAGUACGCACAACGUUGGCGGAAUUCGUCGUGUAGCGGUGAAAUGCUUAGAUAUGACGAAGAACUCCGAUUGCGAAGGCAGCUGACGGGAGCGCAACUGACGCUGAAGCUCGAAGGUGCGGGUAUCGAACAGGAUUAGAUACCCUGGUAGUCCGCACAGUAAACGAUGGAUGCCCGCUGUUGGUACCUGGUAUCAGCGGCUAAGCGAAAGCAUUAAGCAUCCCACCUGGGGAGUACGCCGGCAACGGUGAAACUCAAAGGGAAUUGACGGGGGCCCGCACAAGCGGAGGAACAUGUGGUUUAA
rnacentral:rRNA from 1 species